UACGUAGGUGGCAAGCGUUGUCCGGAUUUACUGGGCGUAAAGAGCGUGUAGGCGGCUUGGUAGGUCUCGCGUCAAAACCUGAGGCUCAACCUCAGUUCGCGUGGGAAACCACCUAGCUAGAGUCCGGAAGAGGAGAACGGAAUUCCCAGUGUAGCGGUGAAAUGCGCAGAUAUUGGGAAGAACACCAGUGGCGAAGGCGGUUCUCUGGGACGGUACUGACGCUGAGACGCGAAAGCGUGGGGAGCGAACAGG
rnacentral:rRNA from 1 species